UACGUAGGGUGCAAGCGUUGUCCGGAAUUAUUGGGCGUAAAGAGCUCGUAGGCGGUCUGUCGCGUCUGCUGUGAAAACUCAGGGCUUAACCCUGAGCUUGCAGUGGGUACGGGCAGACUAGAGUGCGGUAGGGGAGACUGGAAUUCCUGGUGUAGCGGUGAAAUGCGUAGAUAUCGAGAGGAACACCUGCGGCGAAGGCGGGUUGCUGGGCUGACACUGACGCUGAUGCGCGAAAGCCAGGGGAGCGAACGGG
rnacentral:rRNA from 1 species